UACGGAGGGUGCGAGCGUUGUCCGGAAUCACUGGGCGUAAAGGGCGCGUAGGCGGCCUGAUAAGUAGGGGGUGAAAUCCUGCGGCUUAACCGCAGGGCUGCCUUCUAAACUGUCAGGCUAGAGCACAGUAGAGGCAGGUGGAAUUCCCGGUGUAGCGGUGGAAUGCGUAGAUAUCAGGAGGAACACCGGUGGCGAAGGCGGGUCUCUGGGCCGAUACUGACGCUGAGGAGCGAAAGCGUGGGGAGCGAACAGG
rnacentral:rRNA from 1 species